rnacentral:rRNA from 1 species
GAUGAACGCUAGCGGCAGGCCUAAUAUAUGCAAGUCGGACGGGAUUCAGGAGCUUGCUUCUGAUGAGAGUGGCGCACGGGUGCGUAACACGUAUGUAACCUACCUUUAUCAGGGGGAUAGCCUCUCGAAAGAGAGAUUAAGCCCGCAUAAAAUCACAGCACAGCAUUGUGUAAUGAUCAAAUAUUUAUAGGAUAAAGAUGGGCAUGCGGAACAUUAGCUAGAUGGCGGGGUAACGGCCCACCAUGGCGACGAUGUUUAGGGGAUCUGAGAGGAUGGCCCCCCACACUGGUACUGAGACACGGACCAGACUCCUACGGGAGGCAGCAGUAAGGAAUAUUGGUCAAUGGGCGGAAGCCUGAACCAGCCAUGCCGCGUGCAGGAAGACGGCCCUACGGGUUGUAAACUGCUUUUAUACGGGAAUAAACCCAGAUACGUGUAUCUGGCUGAAUGUACUGUAAGAAUAAGGAUCGGCUAACUCCGUG